AAACUUAGGAUAAAUUAAACCAUGGACCUUCAAAGCCCAAAACAUGAAAUAUAUACCUUCAUAGUUUCUGA
rnacentral:tRNA from 1 species